rnacentral:rRNA from 1 species
UACGUAGGCAGCAAGCGUUGUUCGGAAUUACUGGGCGUAAAGAGUGUGUAGGCGGUGCUCUAAGUUCGGUGUGAAAUCUCCCGGCUCAACUGGGAGGGUGCGCCGGAUACUGAGGGGCUAGAGUGUGGGAGAGGAAAGUGGAAUUCCUGGUGUAGCGGUGAAAUGCGUAGAUAUCAGGAGGAACACCGGUGGUGUAAACGGCUUUCUGGACCAUAACUGACGCUGAGGCACGAAAGCGUGGGUAGCAAACAGG